CGCUGCCGGCGGGGGGCUCGGUGCAGCUCGCCCGCUCUCCGGGCAGCGCCGCGCAGGCGCGCUGCUCCCGCCCCGCCGCAGCUCCACAGUUCAUAAGGAGUGCCAAGAGCAGUUUCACAUCUACAGAAAACCUGUUCCUGCCUUGCAAGUAGCUUGAAGAACAUCAGGGAGAUGGUGGCGUGGAAAGGAAGUAACAGAGGUAUGUAGACAUGUUCUGUGUUUUAUUUGCUGACACCAUCUGAGGAUGAGUGGGCUUAUGAAAGAGCCUGGAAAGCCGAGCCUUUGUCGAUGAAUCAUGGGAGGUUGUGUCACCAUAAGUGGAUGAGGUGGAGAAAUGAUUGAAGGGUAUGUGGUUGAGAAAUACUGCUGGAGUGCAGAAGUGGUGGGGACAACACGGGUCUCAACAGAAGAGGAGUAGACUGGGGGAAUGCAGUUAGGUUGGGCCUUGAAGUAGGACAGUAGGUGAAAAACAAGUGGAGGGCUGCUAAGGAGUAAGUGACGUGGUCAGGUUUGUGAGAGGUGUUUGAUCUUCCUCAGGUUGCAAAGGAGCAUUUUAUGUUUGGAGUAUAGAGAAAAGAACUUUGCAGUAGUUGUGGUAGGGUAUACCAAAGAGGCCUAAACAGCAGAUUUGCCUAUGAAAACGAUAAGAGAUUGGUCUUGAAGCUGGAGGGGUAGAAUGAAGGCCCAGGAUCUGUGUGUGACUCAUGGGAAAGGGAGGGGGGAUAGUGGAAAUGGGGUAUGUUAUUGCUGACAGUAGUGAAGGAGAAAAGGGAAAGUGAAGCUAAACCAACACAACCUUGUACCUCAGCAAGCAUAAAUUGAUGACAAAAUCUCCAGGAAGAGAUGCCAGGCAGAGGCAGAAAGGUUGAUGACAGAGGGGGAAAUAUGAGAAUCACAAGCACAGAAAUGCUAUCUAAAAUCCUUGAGAACUGCCAGACAGAGGGAGGAAAGAGAAGUGAGGGCAGGUCUGUGAACUCAAGCCUGGUAUUAAGAAAGGAAAAGAGAAUGAUGACUCAUUGACAGAAAUAACACAAGUGAACAUUAUUUGUAAUCGUAGUAAGUACUACUUCUGAUAGUAACAGAUCUAAGGAUCAACAGGAAAGCACUGUAGGGUAGGUUCUGAGAGUUACAAAGGCUGAGGAAGGCAGGUGACCCAGGAAAGAAUUUUAAGGACUUGUGAAUCCUAGGCCAAUGUGUCCUUCAUGUCACAUCCAGAGCUGUAGAGGCUAUUUCCCAGGUUGUCAGCUCCUGCCUUCUGUGUUGCCUUAUCCCACAUCAGUGACUUACCCACGCCAUAAUACAGGACCUUAGAAGUCAUCUGAAAGUAUAUGUUAAAACCAGCAAGCUCGUUUAAAGAUAGUUUUCACAGGCUUGGGUGAGAAGGCCAUGCUUAAGUGACCUAUGAGGUUUCUUUGAACAUACUAAGGCUGUAAUUGAUAAAGGAGCAGUUGGUAGGCAUGGAAGAGUUGGGUAGUUCAAAACACAUGUGAGAGGGCCUCAGGUCAAAGACUGAUCAUCAAACAGAAACUGUGAGAUCCAGAGCAAGACAGCUGCUGAAAUGGGAAGCUCUCUUAGAAAUACAAAUUGAAAUAUGAAAUUCAUACAUUGUUUUGAUGUGGAAAAUGAAAGAUAACUUUGUGUUUGAAGCUUACCUUGAGGUUUGAGAGAGGAACAUAUUAGAAAAAUAAUGUACUUAUUAAACAAGGAUCGUGACACAACAUAACUGCACCGGAAGAUACAAAGACUGUUUUGCACUGUAGAUUACAGCAUGAUUUGCAUUUGUUUAAUUAGUUAGUGGUAGUUGAUACCACCAGAUAGGCAGUUCCUGAUUUAUACAUAACGAAUAUUUUAAGUCAGCCCAGCAGGUGCUGUGUAUCAGCAAAGUUUUGCUUUAAGCCUGCCAUACAGUGACAUAAAAUUCUGGUUUAGUUAAAAAAAAAAAAAAAAAAAAAUCCAUAAUUGCUAAUGUUUGGACUAUGGUAGACAAAACACACCAAAUAAUUUUCAAAGAUCUAAUUUAUGGGUAAAAAGUUUUCACAGAAGUUUGGUUAAUCCCAAACUGUAUAGUGGUACUUCUACUCCCUUAGUCCUAUGGAAAAAUAACAAUAUUACAACUAUUUUUUUCUGGUUUAUAGUUGACAUUUUUAAAGAUUCUUUUUGGUUGCAGAAUCUGCUUAAGCAGAUUUGAUAUCUUAAGCUAUAAGCUUCCAUCUUCAUGUGCUGGGAUGCCGAAGGAUCUCCCCUCACUCUGCAAAGAAUUCCAAGGCUAUAAUGGAUACAUACCCCCCGUGUACGUGAGCUGAAUGUACAGAUUAGCUUGCCCCAGUCAGCCAUAACCCAUGUUCAGUCUUUUUGGUUUCAGCAUAGCUGUGUGUCUCCUCUAUGCUUUUAGACUUAGACACAAUACAAUAACUUGAAGAGGCAAGACCAUGCUUUUGGUCACUCAUGCAAUGCCAUUGACUUCAGUGGAGUUAAAGAAUGAAUGAAAUUAAAGAAUGACUAAAAGGUUAGAUCCCUUAUCAAUGAACUGAGCAGUCUUUUCUGUACUUCCCUGAUGAGUGUCUUCUCUACAUUGGGAAGGGAAGUUAAGCAGGAAAGACUUAAUGCGAAGGCCGAUGUGUAAGUCCAGGAGUUAUCUACUUUUUUUCUGUGAUAUCUAUUGUCAUUUUAAGUUAUGAAGGCUGAGGAAAGCAGGUGACCCAGGAAAGAGAUUUAAGGACAUGUAAAUCCUAGGCCAGUGGAUCUUUCUGGUCACAUUCACAACGGUAGAAGCUCUAAGCUUACUAAGUUUUACUUGCUAAAAAGAAUUAAACCAACCAGUAGUUCUUGGACACCUCUGUGGGAAGCGUGGAGUUGGUAGGUUGUUCAAAUAGUUCACAGUCUGAAAAAGGAUUCUGGUGCAGCAGCAGCAAGUGAUGUUAUUAGAAAUUCUUAAAUGUAUUGGAAAACAUUGGCCUUGGAAUUACAUUUUAUCUCCUAAGCUAAUUCUCACAACUGGUGAGAGAUUUUGAUGAUCAUCCACCUUGAGCUGGGCUGAUCAAAACCUGGCACAAGCUGUAGAGUUUAGAAAGGCCUUUCUAAAGGCCUCCUUUGUGGGAGCUUUCAGAGAGGCCAGUUGCACAGCUACUACCCAGGAGAGUAUAUAUGCACUUUUAGCAGUCCUGUUAGAGUCAUUGGGUCUACUUAUAACCUUAGCUGUUCUUCUAAGUCAACACUUUUAAUGAUGACAGUGAAAGAAUAGCUUUAAGCCAUAGAUCUAUUUUAGUUUCUAAACUACUGUGUAGCAGAAAAACAAAGUGAGUCCUCUUACUAAUUUUGUCAGUCGUGUUAGGUCACUCCACUCUCUCCUGUGUUCUGAUGACACAGGAAGAGUAAGUCCUUCUUUCACCUCUGUAUCUGGUUUCCUGGGAUCACCUUUGUUGCCUUAUGCUUCAGAGUAAUAAUACACAAUGAAAGGUAGGUUGUCUUUCAGACAGAAGUCUAAAUUAUGUCUGCAAAGAAAAAAAUAGCUUGUGGGUUCACUUGCUAUUCAUUUGUUAAUCCCCCUGCUCUCUGCUUACUGCUUUAGCUAAGAACUGCAGUGAUUUCUAAUCUAACUCCCAAGGAGCUUUCUUCUCAGUGUGGGAGAUGACUGAGUGUAUAUUCCCUAAUAUUCCUAAAUUUAGUAACUUGUAACUUUGGAGUGAUUUUUUUUUCCUAUGAAGACAUUUUACCGCUUAUGGAAGAUGCUGGAUUAACAGAUCAAAAUCACAGACUGUUGUAUAGGCACAGAAAGCGCAUAGGGAAGCUUUGUUGUAGGUUUUGAGGCUUCACUAGUAUACCAAGAUUAUCUCAUUCUGCACACCACUUUAGCCUUUCAUUUACUGAGGUUUCUAGUGAGGAUACCAACAAAGGUGACAACUAAUGAACCAUUCACUCCUGAAAUUUAAACCUAGGUCUGAAUUCAUCAUCCAGUUUAUAUUCAAAGAAAAGGGUUAUUAUGUAAAACUUGUUGCUCAAUCCUAACAAAUGCAACAGCAUAAAGAGGGAAAAGAGAUGUUCGGAGAACCUGUGACUUUGCGUGCAACUGGGGAGCACAUCCAAAAUGUUUUAAAGCUGGAGGAAGGUGAGAGGGAGAGCCCUAUUUGUAACAGUUACAAUCUCAAAACAAAAGGCAGCUACCUCUGGAACACCACUUUUGCAAUGCUUGAAUGCUAGAAUUCAGCCUGUGCUCUCUUGUAUCAAAUUCAUGACAACAGUAUUUCAGUGCAGUUCUUUAUCAGUUUUAGAUUACAUCAUGCUGUGAAUUGCUCUAUCUGUUAAUAUUGAUUCACGUAAAUCAUUUGGUUUGAGGUCUUCAAAUGGGAAGUUGAGGUGCAUUUCAGUGUACAAUGUACUCAUUUUGUCCUUGAAAAUCAUUUAGAAAAAAAAGCAAGCUGCAGUUGCAUAGAUUAUAUUACUUUUCUGAAAGGUUAGAUUUACCCCUUAGAACUGUCAAUAGUGGGACAAAAGCCUUCCAUUGAAAGAAUGAGAAUAGAGGAGAAAAUUGUUGGUGCUUAAAGUUGAUUGAGGGAGUCACAGAAGUGCUGCAGGUCUCAAGGGCCGUGUAGCCCAAAGCCUGAUUCAAAGAAGUCAUGCUGUUUUUAAUGAGAGCAGCUACAGCAGCAGAAGUGAUAACUGAAUUCUAGUUCCUGAACUUUAAUCUAGACCUAGCUAGGGUUUUUUUUCUUAAUUACCUAAGUUUUGCUUGAAUAUCUCCUUCAUUUUUAUGUAUGUUCUUCAACUGUUGCAUGGCUUUGCUGUGAGCUGAGAAACAUUUACUAUGCUCUGUCUGCUGGGCUGCAUUUUGUUCUCCAUCCAUUUGCACUGGGCUAACAUUUGUGAGUGAAGGUUCUUUUUGUUUUGCAAAUCCUUUAGGAUCCCUCAGAAAGAGUGCUGGUGUAGAAAUAUCAGUGUUACACAGAUGCAUAUCAAACUGUGAUAAAUGGAAGUUGCACUGGAAAAAAAAUGGAAGUAAUAUUGUUGUAUGUUAGUGAUUAUCAUUGGUCUUUACUCCACUAAGAAGCUCCCACCUGAAUAUGCUUGGUUUUGCUGAAAUUUUAUGUGAGUUGGAGCUGAGUAAAUGUGAUGACUAGAUUGGUGCACCUGAGCAAGGCAAGGUGUUGGCAGAAUUGUUUUGCUGCGUGCUAAAGGACUAUGAAGGUUUCUUGUAGGGAAACUGCCUUUCCUGUACAGAAAGAAAAGAUUGCUCCUUCCUGGCAAGAGGGACACUGUUAUUACUUCUCCAGCCUACUCUGAGUUUGCACUAGUGACUGAAAUGUUCCCAGACAAGCAGAUGGGAAAAUAGCCUGUAAAUCAUUAUUGUUAUAAAUGGUUUGUAAAACUUUGGAUGUUGAGAGGUAAGAGUAGUUCAAAUAAGUCUCAAUAAUGCUGACUCAAAGGUUUAAAGCAUUGCUUAAAUCCCUUGAUUAACCCAGCUUCUCAAUAUUUGACAUGAAUCAGUAACUCUUUGGCAUUCUCUAGCUUUGUAAAUAUUUAUGCAGCCAGUCCCAUGAAAUAUGACAUUUAAUCCUGUUGAAGUAAUUAUUUGUAUGCUCCAUGUAAAGAGAUAUAAAGUAUAAUAGUUCCAGUGAUGCUAGUUUAAUAAUUACUACUAAGGAUUAAAUCUGCUAUCUUUCUUUUGUCAAUAACCAGGACUUAUGCAAUGUAAGUGUGAAUGAAUGGAAUCCGCUUUCUGAUGCAAAUCUUGGGCCAGGUGCUGGGAACUCAGAUUUCCUGAUCCUGGCUUGUGCCUGGGCCUGUGGCUCAAUAGUAACAGCAGCCUUUUGUUCCAGUUAAAUGAGGUGUUGAGUGCUACAUCCAGGCAAGUAGUGAAAGAAUGGCACCUCUAUUAGCUUGUCCUCAGCCUUCCAUUUCCGAGAUACAAUGAAUGGUCUAUGCUCUCCAGGGAACUGGAAGAUGCUCUACCCAGAGUUUCCAGGACCUGGGAAAGCCUUCUGUACAAAAGUGUACCUGCCCUCCAGAUUGUGGCUGGGAAUGCUGCUAACAUAUAGGAUUUGCAGCACGUUUGUAUUUAAACGGUUUAGCUUAAGAAGCACAGUAAUAUGCUUGUUCCUCAGACACUGAGCUUUUAGUCAUUGUUUACUGGUUCAGUCUGAUUCAUCUGUGGAUUCUGCCAGGUUUUGCAGUUGUACUUCUUGCCUCUAGGUAUUCCAGAAAUAGAAGGGGUUGGGAAUAAUGAGGAAGCAGAGAAAGAUUGAAGUAGCACAAGAUGUUUAGAGUUGGCCAAGAAGAAAUCGGACUAAGCAGAACCAUUCAAGAAGGAGCAGAUGGAAACAGUUGCCAGCAGAUGAGUACUGGAAAAGAUUCAAGCCACAGUACUUGCUGGAACUUGGGAGUUUGUGAUGGCCUGAGCUAACCCAAUGACAGGUAUCUAAGAUUUGAAACCAGACAGCUACUCAGUUCUUAGCUAUGAGGGCAAAAAACCUGUUGUGGAACAAAAGCCAUGUCCAGGCCAUUCUCUGAACAAGCUACCAGAACUUGUUUCUCAGAGAAGUCCUAUGGUGAGAGGAAUCUUUAAGCUGUGGUUGUUCAUAGUGCUAAAGAUAAAAGAGAACUGCUAGUGUAUUUUUGUGAAUGUGUCUGCCCCAUAAUUCGUUCACUCAAAGUAGUGGUUUCUUUUGACCUUGAGCUAAGAUUUAACAGGUGGGGAAAAGAUAAAUUUAGGAAAUCCAGUGAUGCAAUGCUGAUACUUUUAUGACUUCUUGCAUAUUUUCUAGCAUACCAUGAAGAAUAUUAAAUGGCAAAAGCUGAAGUGUCCUUGGCAAACAAACAAACAAAAUAGUACCCUGCGAUUUUUUUACCUUUGAUUCCCCUCACCACAUGCACUUUUUACUCCCACGGAGCUUGAAAUAUUAACCCAGCAUGUUAAUUUAUUUCUUCCAGAUCUGGUCUGGCCAUUGGCUUUAACAUCUCUCUUGGAAGUACUUGAAACUAAAUGGCUGGCCCUAUCUCUAGCUUUGUUAAUUAGGCACAUUACUUUGUUGCUUUUCUCAUAUCGUUUCAUGUAAUUGGCAUUUGUGGAGCUUUUGAAAGGCAUGUUUGGGGCUACAUUUUGUGCAGCUGGCUUUAAACUGCAGGCUGCUUCAAGUGUCUAGUUCUGUAGAGGACAGCCUUUGAGAUCACAAAGCAUGUGUGCCCAGCACAUACUGUGCUUCUCCUCCAAAAGGAAUGAAGUGACCAGUACAAGACAUGUUCCUCCCUGCAUACAUUUGUGUUUCUAUGGUAUUGUAUCUGUAAUAUGAGCAUUACGUGCCCUGUUUGAAGAACAGUACUCCCUCUACUAACUGUUGUAUAAUGCUUUACUAUAAGAUAGUCUUCAUCCUAACCCACUUUAGGCAAUGUAUAACUUAUACAGGCACAAAAGCCUGUGGGAUUUUUCAUGUAGAAGCACAUCUUUGUAAGCCAGGAAUUUGGACUUGCUGUGCUAAUUCCAACAGAUAAUUGUACCAAUAUUGUGUCACCAGCCAAUAAGAAUGAUGAAUUUACACUAAGUAGGAAUUCAACUCUUUCAUUUCAGUUGUCUUGGUGUGAAAUGAUACUCUGUACCUGAAUGGAGGAAGGCAUGGAUAUAAAAGUUUAGGGAAAAAAGAA